CAUCUGGCCGUCGGCGCCGAGCGGCGAGGACUGUGCAGAGCAGAGGCCGGUGCUCGGCGAGCUGCACAGCCACCUUACCAUCACAUUUUCAUUUGGUGUUGGUGGUUCUGAGUGGUGAUCAAGACGGUCAAGACCCUAAGGCAGUGAAGUGCACAUGACGGCAGGCCGAUCUGCACCAAUAUCUGAUCCACUCAUGUACGGCUUUGCUAUUUUCUUAUCAAGCCAAUAGACAAGAUGGUCGUUUUCGUUUUCUUCAAUUAAGCAAGCAUCAGGGCUGCAUCGACUCUGUAUGUACUGGAUCCUAAUCCUAAG